UACGUAGGCAGCAAGCGUUGUUCGGAGUUACUGGGCGUAAAGGGUGUGUAGGCGGUUCUCUAAGUCUGGUGUGAAAUCUCCCGGCUCAACUGGGAGGGUGCGCCGAAAACUGGAGGACUAGAGUGCGGGAUGGGAGAGUGGAAUUCCUGGUGUAGCGGUGAAAUGCGUAGAUAUCAGGAGGAACACCUGUGGUGUAGACGGCUCUCUGGACCGCAACUGACGCUGAGACACGAAAGCGUGGGUAGCAAAUGGG
rnacentral:rRNA from 1 species